ACAUGACGGUUAACCCCCUCCUUUGCGA
rnacentral:tRNA from 1 species